rnacentral:rRNA from 1 species
AACGAACGCUGGCGGCACGCCUAACACAUGCAAGUCGAACGAGACCUUCGGGUCUAGUGGCGCACGGGUGCGUAACGCGUGGGAAUCUGCCCUCUGGUACGGAAUAACUCAGGGAAACUUGAGCUAAUACCGUAUAAUGACUUCGGUCCAAAGAUUUAUCGCCUGAGGAUGAGCCCGCGUAGGAUUAGCUAGUUGGUGAGGUAAAAGCUCACCAAGGCGACGAUCCUUAGCUGGCUGAGAGGAUGAUCAGCCACACUGGGACUGAGACACGGCCCAGACUCCUACGGGAGGCAGCAGUGGGGAAUAUUGGACAAUGGGCGAAGCCUGAUCCAGCAAUGCCGCGUGAGUGAUGAAGGCCUUAGGGUUGUAAAGCUCUUUUACCCGGGAUGAUAA